GACGAACGCUGGCGGCGUGCCUAAUACAUGCAAGUAGAACGCUGAAGCGAGGAGCUUGCUCUUCUUGGAUGAGUUGCGAACGGGUGAGUAACGCGUAGGUAACCUGCCUUGUAGCGGGGGAUAACUAUUGGAAACGAUAGCUAAUACCGCAUAACAAUGGAUGACACAUGACAUUUAUUUGAAAGGGGCAAUUGCUCCACUACAAGAUGGACCUGCGUUGUAUUAGCUAGUAGGUGAGGUAAUGGCUCACCUAGGCGACGAUACAUAGCCGACCUGAGAGGGUGAUCGGCCACACUGGGACUGAGACACGGCCCAGACUCCUACGGGAGGCAGCAGUAGGGAAUCUUCGGCAAUGGGGGCAACCCUGACCGAGCAACGCCGCGUGAGUGAAGAAGGUUUUCGGAUCGUAAAGCUCUGUUGUAAGUCAAGAACGGGUGUGAGAGUGGAAAGUUCACACUGUGACGGUAGCUUACCAGAAAGGGACGGCUAACUACGUG
rnacentral:rRNA from 1 species